UUUUACCUUAAUAGUAAUUUGUAACCCUUUCCCAGGGAGGACUUUGCUAAUGUUCAGUAGCAGUGCGUGCUUCUGUUUCAUCCCAUGUAUCUGCUCUUUCCCUCAGUGUUCACCAGUACUUAAACCAAAGGAUAAACAGGUCUUGCACGAAAUGAGGCACUGAAUCAUCUCAUUGAAGGACUUUGCAGGCGAGAACAUGCAGCUGCAGUCACGUCCUACAUUUACAGCUUUAACAUAGAAAAUCUCAGCACUCCAGUCCUGACGUGGCAUGAAGCUGAAUUAUUAACAAAUGCUUACUGCUAGGGGAGAAAUAGCUGGUGAGAAGGAGCUUUUUCUGCAUGUGCACUCAUCAGUAUUCACUGAGUGAUCAGGGAUCUGGUUACCUGGGCUGGCAUCUGCUGAUGCUCCAGAGCGGUAGGGAGCUGGAGGGUGCUUCAUGUGGUUAAUGGGAGGUUUCCUGGCCCCAGUGUUUGGCUCUGUCUUGUGCUGGUAUCUGCUUUCGUCUCAUCUGACCAUGUGUAACGUAAGUGUGUUUUAUGCCAGGAACAAAGCAAUGCUGGAAAGGCUUACCUAUCUUCCAAGGAGUGAGUAGCCCUACCUAAAGCUGCCAUGAGAAGCAGGUGCUUCAGCCCCUACAACAGGAAGGGAAUGCUGCCUUUUCUUGUGCCAUCUCUCACCUCCAUUGAAUUUACACUGCUCAGAGGUCAUGCAGAUCAAGGUUUGCUAUGCAGGACUCCAUGCAGUACUGAGUAAUUCAGUAUGGCAUUCCUUACAGUAAGCUACUCCUCACUGAAUAGGUCCAGUAAACACUGAGCCACAGCAAAAACUAGAGGUUUUUUAUGGCAAAGAAUUCAGUGUAGUGACUGAUCUGCACCUUGAAAUGUGGGGCAAGUCAAAGCCUGAGCUUCGAUCCACUUGGGAUCCUCUUCCACUUAAAAAUAAACCUCCUGAAGCAGUACUUAAAUCCAGCCUGACUGACAUGCCUCUGUGCUAAGCAUGGAGCAUCCCAAUGGAGUUUUCCUGCUGGAAUAUUGGAGACAAUAAACAAGAAACAUAAGGAGGCUUGUAUUAAGCAUCUGUACAGAUAAAAUAAGGAAUUAAAACCGAACUAGCUCAUAGUGUAGUGGCCACAGAUCUCUAGCAUGGCAAAAUCACUGAACCUUGCCCAGCACACUUGUUCCAGUAGCUUUUUCUAAUGAUUAGUCUGGAUUUCUUAAAGCUAGCAUUGUUCCUAUGCUGACAAACCCAAGAACCAACCAUUCACAAAAACCUCCUCAAAACAAUAACUAACAACAGAGCUGCCUCUUUUGUCCGUGGCUGACCACAAAAUGAUGUAUUUAAAGUACAAGUGAUUUGGAAAGGAGUAUAUAAUAUAGUCAGCUCAUUCUCAAAACUAUGGUUUUCUCCAGUCAAAGGCAGUGCCUGCCAGUCUUCUGAAGCUACACUGCAUGUUGCAACAUGUGACGUUAGAAACAAAACUCCUUCAAUUGAAAUAAUACUGAAAGGAAGGUUUUGUGGCAAGUAAAACCUCCUUUGGAGA